AGACCUUCAGAGAAUGGACCCAGAAAUGAGUGCUGAAAAAUACGAAAUACUAGAAAAACAGAUGAGGUCUCAGCUGAGUUUUGAAUGACAUAAAGGCUUUGAAUUAGAAAAUGAGAGAAGGGUACUGUAUAGCUUCACAGGAAUUAUGGUGGGUUCUGGGGAAACAUAUUAAAUAUUUAGAGGUCACAAAACCCUACAGAACGUGUGGA
rnacentral:lncRNA from 1 species